rnacentral:tRNA from 1 species
GUCAGGAUAGCUCAGUGGUAGAGCAGAGGACUGAA